UACGGAGGGGGCUAGCGUUGUUCGGAAUUACUGGGCGUAAAGCGCACGUAGGCGGAUCGGAAAGUUGGGGGUGAAAUCCCGGGGCUCAACCCCGGAACGGCCUUCAAAACUCCCGGUCUGGAGGUCGAGAGAGGCGAGUGGAAUUCCGAGUGUAGAGGUGAAAUUCGUAGAUAUUCGGAGGAACACCAGUGGCGAAGGCGGCUCGCUGGCUCGAUACUGACGCUGAGGUGCGAAAGCGUGGGGAGCAAACAGG
rnacentral:rRNA from 1 species